rnacentral:rRNA from 1 species
UACAGAGGAUGCGAGCGUUAAUCGGAAUUACUGGGCGUAAAGCGCGCGUAGGCGGCUUUGCAAGUCGGGUGUGAAAUCCCCAGGCUUAACCUGGGAACUGCAUUCGAGACUGCAUUGCUAGAGUAUGGGAGAGGGAAGUGGAAUUUCCGGUGUAGCGGUGAAAUGCGUAGAUAUCGGAAGGAACAUCAGUGGCGAAAGCGACUUCCUGGACCAAUACUGACGCUCAUGUGCGAAAGCGUGGGGAGCAAACAGG